rnacentral:rRNA from 1 species
GUGAGGAAUAUUGGUCAAUGGACGAGAGUCUGAACCAGCCAAGUAGCGUGAAGGAUGACUGCCCUAUGGGUUGUAAACUUCUUUUAUAAGGGAAUAAAGUGAGGGACGUGUCCCUUUUUGUAUGUACCUUAUGAAUAAGGAUCGGCUAACUCCGUGCCAGCAGCCGCGGUAAUACGGAGGAUCCGAGCGUUAUCCGGAUUUAUUGGGUUUAAAGGGAGCGUAGGUUGACAUAUAAGUCAGCUGUGAAAGUUUACGGCUCAACCGUGAAAUUGCAGUUGAUACUGUAUGUCUUGAGUGUACAAGAGGUGGGCGGAAUUCGUGGUGUAGCGGUGAAAUGCUUAGAUAUCACGAAGAACUCCAAUUGCGAAGGCAGCUCACUGGGGUACAACUGACACUGAGGCUCGAAAGUGUGGGUAUCAAACAGGAUUAGAUACCCCAGUAGUCC